GACCACAUAGCCAUUUUUGUAUCACUGCAGUUUGUACUGGACACCUGUGGUUCAAGCUUAUCUGUCAGUCAUCUAGAAGGCACUGGUGCCAGGGUUUUUGUCUUGUCCUCAAACUGUUUCAGCAUCUACAUGAAACCCUACAGGAGGUUGCCUGAAGUUUUGUGAUGGAUCUGAUAUCACUCAGCUCCGUUCUUGUUUAUAUUCAAUUCCAAGGAAUCAACAGCGCCCUUGAAUGAUAUUUGUGUUCAACAAUUAGCUAAACAAGGGAGGCCACCCUGGAAUUAAAUCCAAAGAAAAUGAAACCAAAGAUGAAGAUAUUAUUGAUAAAUAGAAAACUGAAUUUGAGAUCAGUGAUUCAGCCUGUUUUGGAUGAAGUUGGCUUCUGAUAGGCGUGCUCCUUAUUCUUUAGCUGUCAAUGAAACGUUAUAUUCUAUAGAAAUAAUUUUAAGGGAUUGUCUGUCAAAAUUGUCCUUUCCUCCAAAUGUUCCUUUCAAGGCAGCGCCAUCAUUUUGCAGCCACUACAGAAAUGAUAAUUCCUGAUUUAAAAAGGCCCUAUUGGAAGAACUAUGUCAUAGUGGGUCUCCAUGAGAUUUAACUAAGCAUGCUAACCUGUAGCCUAUGGAAAGAUCAUUGUUUUCUAUGCGCCUGAACUGUGCAUGCCAUCCAUAACAAUUUCACCAAAAUCUGUGAAAGAGUUUUUUAAAAAAUGCAGUUUUUAGUGCAACCCUAGGGUGUCAAACUUGCGUCGUCACAUUGUUGUCACGUGAUGUAUCGCGACCUUUGUGAUCAUAUUAAAAGCAACUGUGUUCUCUUCGCUGAUGAUGUUAAACUAUUCAACAGCACCGACAAUACAACUACCCUUCAAAAAGACCUUGACUAUGUGUCAGAUUGGUCUAACAAAUGGCAACUUCAAAUCUCAACCAACAAAUGCUCUGUCUUGUACAUUGGCAAAAAAAUCAAAACAUAAAAUACCAAUUAGAUAGACAUGACCUUGUAGAUGACCCUCACUCUGUCAAGGAGUACUCAUUUCUAAAGAUCUAAGUGCCUGAGCCCACUGUAACAACAUUGCCAAAAAGGCAUUAAGAGUUGUUAACCUAAUCUUGCAUAGCUUCUUCUCUGGUAAUGUUGUACUACUAACUAGAGCAUACAAAACAUUUGCUAGACCAAUUCUUGAAUACAGCUCAUCUGUCUGGAACCCGCACUGCAUAUCGGACAUAAAUACAAUCAAGAGAGUCCAGAGAUAUUUUAUGAGAAGAGUCCUCCAUUCCUCUAACCGCAAUAAAAUACCUUAUGCCAUCAG